GGAGGCUGCAGUAGGGAAUCUUCCGCAAUGGACGAAAGUCUGACGGAGCAACGCCGCGUGAGUGACGAAGGUUUUCGGAUCGUAAAACUCUGUUGUGAGGGAAGAACAAGUGCCACUUAACUACUGGCACCUUGACGGUACCUCACCAGAAAGCCACGGCUAACUACGUGCCAGCAGCCGCGGUAAUACGUAGGUGACAAGCGUUGUCCGGAAUUAUUGGGCGUAAAGCGCGCGCAGGCGGUCCUUUAAGUCUGAUGUGAAAGCCCACGGCUCAACCGUGGAGGGUCACUGGAAACUGGAGGACUUGAGUGCAGAAGAGGAAAGUGGAAUUCCAUGUGUAGCGGUGAAAUGCGUAGAGAUGUGGAGGAACACCAGUGGCGAAGGCGACUUUCUGGUCUGUAACUGACGCUGAGGCGCGAAAGCGUGGGGAGCAAACAGGAUUAGAUACCCUGGUAGUCCACGCCGUAAACGAUGAGUGCUAAGUGUUAGGGGGUUUCCGCCCCUUAGUGCUGCAGCUAACGCAUUAAGCACUCCGCCUGGGGAGUACGGCCGCAAGGCUGAAACUCAAAGGAAAUUGACGGGGGCCCGCACAAAGCGGUGGAGCAUGUGGUUUAAUUYGAAGCAACGCGAAGAACCUUACCAGGUCUUGACAUCCCGCUGCCCGGUGUAGAGAUACGCCUUUCCCUUCGGGGACAGCGGUGACAGGUGGUGCAUGGUUGUCGUCAGCUCGUGUCGUGAGAUGUUGGGUUAAGUCCCGCAACGAGCGCAACCCUUGAUCUUAGUUGCCAGCAUUCAGUUGGGCACUCUAAGGUGACUGCCGGUGACAAACCGGAGGAAGGUGGGGAUGACGUCAAAUCAUCAUGCCCCUUAUGACCUGGGCUACACACGUGCUACAAUGGACGGUACAAAGGGCUGCCAACCCGCGAGGGGGAGCCAAUCCCAGAAAACCGUUCUCAGUUCGGAUUGCAGGCUGCAACUCGCCUGCAUGAAGCCGGAAUCGCUAGUAAUCGUGGAUCAGCAUGCCACGGUGAAUACGUUCCCGGGCCUUGUACACACCGCCCGU
rnacentral:rRNA from 1 species